UCAAAGGAUAUGAAGGGAGUAACUGCAGCAGAGGGUUCUAGAAAGCGUGCUUCAGAAAGGGUUCAGGAUGGCAGGGCUUCAGCUAAAAGAAGCAAUAGUCAAACUGGUUCUCGGCAAGAGGGAUCUGAUAGCCGAGCAGGUGAUAGGGACUUGUACAGUUUGACAGUAGAAAGGCUUCGUGCUCUUCUGAAGGAGCGGGGUCUUUCACCCAGAGGAAAGAAGGAUGAACUGGUUGCAAGGU
rnacentral:misc_RNA from 1 species